GGACCAUGGCUCAGUGGCACAUCAUCUGCUUGGCCUGCAGAAGAUUCCAGGUUCAAUCCCUGACAUCACCA
rnacentral:tRNA from 1 species